rnacentral:rRNA from 1 species
AGCAGCCGCGGUAAUUCCAGCUCCAAUAGCGUAUAUUAAAGUUGUUGCAGUUAAAAAGCUCGUAGUUGAAUUUCGGGGUUAGUAAGUUGGUCAUGCCUCUGGUAUGCACUGGCUUUACUGAUUCCUCCUUCUUGAUGAACUGUAAUGUCAUUAAUUUGGUGUUGCAGGGAAUCAGGACUGUUACUUUGAAAAAAUUAGAGUGUUUAAAGCAGGCAUAAGCUUGAAUACAUUAGCAUGGAAUAAUGAAAUAGGACGUUUGAUCCUAUUUUGUUGGUUUCUAGGAUUGACGUAAUGAUUAAUAGGGAUAGUUGGGGGCAUUAGUAUUCAAUUGUCAGAGGUGAAAUUCUUGGAUUUAUUGAAGACUAACUACUGCGAAAGCAUUUGCCAAGGAUGUUUUCAUUAAUCAAGAACGAAAGUUAGGGGAUCGAAGACGAUCAGAUACCGUCGUAGUCUUAACCAUAAACUAUGCCGACUAGGGAUCGGAUGAUGUUAUUUUUAAUGACUCAUUCGGCGCCUUACG